CAGUGGCGUAGCCAGGGUUGAUAUGAUGUGGAUGUUUCGCCAAGUGGAGCGAGGCGAAAAAUAUUUUGACCUUUUUAUGCAGAAAAUUAUUUUUUAUUUAAGCACAUGUACUCCCCCAGAAUCCGACACUAGUUAGAUUUUUGUUUAAAUUCAAAAUACCCACGGGCACCAGUUCAUAUAUUUUUAUUGUUAACCAAAUUUUAUUGUUUCCUUGAAACUACCAUCAUUCAAUUCAUAAACAUUAAAG
rnacentral:lncRNA from 1 species